CAGUAGCCACGGGAAUACGAAGGGUGCAAGCGUUAAUCGGAAUUACUGGGCGUAAAGCGUGCGUAGGCGGUGAGUUAAGUCUGCUGUGAAAUCCCCGGGCUCAACCUGGGAAUGGCAGUGGAUACUGGCUCGCUAGAGUGUGUCAGAGGAUGGUGGAAUUCCCGGUGUAGCAGUGAAAUGCGUAGAGAUCGGAAGGAACAUCUGUGGCGAAGGCGACUAUCUGGGCCAACACUGACACUGAGGCACGAAAGCGUGGGGAGCAAACAGGAUUAGAUACCCCGGUAGUCCCUGUCUCUUAUAC
rnacentral:rRNA from 1 species